rnacentral:misc_RNA from 1 species
CAUCAUCGAUAGCGCCAUCGGUGCCACCGCUAGUACAACAUUAAAGUCGUCAAAUAGAAACAAUAAAUAGGAAUAGUUUUAGAUUUGUGUGCAUUUAAUUUUUCUUUGUUUGUUACGAUCGAAAUUCUGUACAAAAUAUUACUGUUAGAUACCUGCUGCAGCGCUGGAAGAACGGUGAAAAGCACAAGGUGGCAAUUGAGCUUGCAUUUGGACACCUUUGUCAACGCGAUUGGAACUUACACAUACUCGCAGACUGGGAGAACGGAAAGAACAGACGGCGGAAGAGUGUGAAAAAGAGGCAAACAAACAACCGUGCGAUAACAACAACAAUAGCCAGCGAGCGCAGCGCCUCCAGCAAAUGGAAAUGGCCAACAUGAUCGGCAACAACCACAGCGGGGGCAACAAAAACAGCGGCGUCGGCGGCCCCAACUACAACAACAGUUACAACAGCGUGGCUGACAGUGGACACAACAGCACCGGAGGCGGUAGCGGUGGCGGUGGCGGCGGCAGUGGCACUGGCACUGGCGAAACUCCCAGGCUCCGCGACAUUCUGAAUGUUGGCGGGCCAUACCAGAUCCCAGCAGGUGGCUGCGCCUACGACAUCAUCAUCGACCUAAUGCGAGGCCUCGACCUGCAGGACGACGGCAUUGUGAUGAACUCCAAGAUCAAGACCAUUGAGACUGACUUCUGCAACAUUGUGCGCGACGAGUCGAUGCUGUGCGAGUCCAUGGAGUACCUGAACGACAAGGCGCUGGGAGACGGUGACACUGCGCUCAAGUUCGCCCUGCUCUUCUCCUCUCGCAACUUCGAUGCUCUGGCGAUGAAGGACACCAAGGUGCGCAGCGCCAUGCUGAAGAUCCUCGAGACGAACUUCCUCAACGCAGACACAUAUCGGGUGCACGACAAGAACCGGCUGUACAACUCCAUAACGCUGCUGGGCGAGUACUACCACCGGGUGCGCCUUGCGGACAAUGCUCCAAUCACAAUCCUAGGGGUGUCCCUCCUCGACCUGCUCACCCGCGAACUUACAGACGUCGGUGUGGUGGUGAGCACUCGUCUGGCACGCCUGGUCCUGUCACAGAUCACGCUCAACGGCGAGAUCAUGCGCUCGCGCCACAAGGCUGAAAUCGACCUGCUGCUGUACCACGUCCGGCGCCACCUGAUUCUGCAGCCCGCGCUGACCGCCAAGGUGAAGGCCAUGCUGCUGAUGGUCCUGGAUUUGUUCUACAGUCACUUCAAGCACAUCGGCAACGAUCUGGAGGCCAUGUACACAAGCUAUCUGGUGGUGGAGGAUGGGGAGGACGACUGCGUCAAUAAUAACGGGUCGGGGCUUCAUCCGAAGGACGAAAACCACCAGCUCCAGCAUCAACAGUCUGAGAACGGCAGCAGUGCGAAUACCUCUGGCCAAGACCCCGACACAUUCGAUCCGCCGCCGACGACAAAGAAGUGGAGCGAGCAAGUUUGCGAGGACUCUUUCUGCGACAUCGGCUACGGCGAGGUGGAGCAGAGCGAGGAGCGCUAUUCGGAUGCAGCACCACAGCCAUAUCCUGCCAACAACACGGGCCCCCAUCGGCACGGACGUCGCAGCUAUCAGCCGCGCCAGGCGCCGCGACCACUAAAGACACAACAGCCAGCCAGCACAGACACAAACUCCGACCAGUAUCCAUCCAUGGCUAGCAGCGAGGAUCGCGACGAGAGCAAGCCGCUGCCGAGCUGGCGAAAGACGCGCUUCAACCGUAAUCACGACGGCGACAGCAACGGCCGUUCCCGCGACCAGCAGAGGCGUUAUAGCGCCAGCUUUGACGACGAUCAUCACAGCGUCCGUAGCGAGGGCACCGGCAACUUGCGGCUGUACAGCAUCCACGACCGAAGGAAACACUCCCAGGAGCGGCACGAGCGCAACAUGAGCGGAGGUGGAAACUACAACAGCAUAGUCAAUUCCAACUGGGACCAGCGCGAUAGGGACGACCGCAGCGAGCGCUCCUACAUUAGCAACUACGAGCGUGGCAAUGCCUACAAGCGUGGCGGCCGUUUCCAAAACCGCAACACCUACGACAAGCCGCCGCGCUUCCAGAAACAACAGCAGCAGCAGCAAGGCCAGCAGCCACAACAUCAGCCACAGGGUGGCCCCCAGAAGAUUCAUAGCGACACCUGGCGUCGCUCCAACACGGCCAUCAAUAGUGGCUACCAGGAUGAGAACUGUGCCUACAACUCAAACGGCCAAGAGUCGAAUAGCCGCAGCUCCUCCAGAGCACGCACCCUUCCACGCCCGUCGAAGAUGGACAAGUCUGGUGGGUAUCGGUACAACCAGAGUCCCACGCGUGGGGGAGGAGGAGGAGGUGGCCCGAGGUUCCCGCGCUACAGUAGCCAGAGCAGCUUGGCCAGUGAGGCGUCCAGCACGUUUGACCGCCGCCAGCAGACCUCGCCGCAGCAUCCGCACCAGCGACACCGCCACUUCACGCGCCGCUCGCAACCCGAUAUCCAUCAGCCCCAGAACGAGGAUAAGAACUGGCAGGGUGGUCCGCAGGGGGGCGGUCAGGAGCAGCAGGCGGCCGGCAAGGAGGAGAGCGAGCUGGUGCGCAACGCCCAGCAGACAACCAAGUACAUGAACUACCUGUCGUCGCAGAAAUGACCUCCGCACCGCCGCCGCCACCGCCGCCAGGGCAGAAAAGUACAUUUGUAAACUAGUUAUUACUGUUUGUAUGGAAAAAUUCAUCCUCAGAUUAUUUUCCGCAAAGGAGUUAUCCCCACUAUAGGUGUUAUACAACCUCCCAAACCUGAGCUCAAAUGUCAAACCAAAUCAACAGAAAUCAGACUCAACUCAAAACAAGGCUCAAUACAGAAAGAUGCAUUAAAGCAAUCCAAUCCACAAAUCCAUUACACACAUUGGAAGCCGAUCACUCUGUAAAUACCAAUCUAUAUAAUAUAUAGAUGUCAACAUACCACUUGCAUGGCCUACACAAGCAUACACACGAAUCCAUUUUUAUAUUUAUAUAUACAAACUGCUUAGGAACUAAGUACAAACUCCAAGAAAAAUCCUAUCAAAGCCUGUUACACAAAUGUUAAAUGAGAGUUGAGAGCAUAUAAAAAUGUAUUUUAGCUAAAUAUAUACAUAUAUAUUAAAUGUCAUGUUAUAGUGCAGGUUCAGAAAAUUUAUUAAACGAAUUAUACAAACAUACACAAAAGGUAUUUUUUAAAGAAAAUUUUGUGAGGCCCUUUGUUGGAACAACGAAGUCAAGCCAAAUGCAGAGAAAAUAAUAUAUGUAUGUUCUAGAGUUAUACGCGUAGUCAUAUAUGAAUACUUAAAACCACUGUUUAGAACCACAAUCCCCGAUGUUCGCAACAUACGUAGGAUCAAAACAUUAAUCAGAUUAUUCAUAGCGUCUAACACAUUUUUUAAAUAAAACAA